ensembl:lncRNA
GGUACAGAGUCAAUGUGGAGGCUAUAUACAGGGGGUACCGGUACAGAGUCAAUGUGGAGGCUAUAUACAGGGGGUACCAGUACAGAGUCAAUGUGGAGGCUAUAUACAGGGGGUACUGGUACAGAGUCAAUGUGGAGGCUAUAUACAGGGGGUACCAGUACAGAGUCAAUGUGGAGGCUAUAUACAGGGGGUACUGGUACAGAGUCAAUGUGGAGGCUAUAUACAGGGGGUACCAGUACCGAGUCAAUGUGGAGGCUAUAUACAGGGGGUACCAGUACCGAGUCAAUGUGGAGAUUAUAUACAGAGGGUACUGGUACAGAGUCAAUGUGGAGACUAUAUACAGGGGGUACCAGUACAGAGUCAAUGUGGAGGCUGUAUACAGGGGGUAUCGGUACAAAGUCAAUGUGGAGGCUAUAUACAGGGGGUACCGGUACAGAGUCAAUGUGGAGGCUAUAUACAGGGGGUACCGGUACAGAGUCA